ACGUCCUAUCAGCUUGUUGGUGAGGUAACGGCUCACCAAGGCUAUACGGGUAGCUGGUCUGAGAGGAUGGUCAGCCACACUGGGACUGAGACACUGCCCAGACUCCUACGGGAGGCUGCAGUCGAGAAUCAUUCGCAAUGGGCGAAAGCCUGACGGUGCGACGCCGCGUGCAGGAUGAAGGUCUUCGGAUUGUAAACUGCUGUCAUGAGGGAGCAAUUUCUGGUGUAUGAACAAUGCAUCGGGGUGAUAGUACCUCAAGAGGAAGCCACGGCUAACUCUGUGCCAGCAGCCGCGGUAAUACAGAGGCGGCGAGCGUUGUUCGGAUUUACUGGGCGUAAAGGGUGCGUAGGCGGUUCCGCGUGUCGAAUGUGAAAUCUCACAGCUUAACUGUGGAACUGCAUUCGAAACUGCGGGGCUUGGAGUUCAGGAGAGGAGAGCGGAAUUCUUGGUGUAGCGGUGAAAUGCGUAGAUAUCAAGAGGAACACCGGUGGCGAAGGCGGCUCUCUGGACUGAUACUGACGCUGAGGCACUAAAGCUAGGGGAGCAAACAGGAUUAGAUACCCUGGUAGUCCUAGCCUUAAACGAUAGCACUUGGUGUGGGGGGAAUUGUCCCCCUCCGCGCCGGAGCUAACGCGUUAA
rnacentral:rRNA from 1 species